UACGUAGGGGGCUAGCGUUGUCCGGAAUUAUUGGGCGUAAAGAGCGCGUAGGCGGUCCGAUAAGUCGGCUGUGAAAGUCAGGGGCUCAACCCUUGAAAGCCGGCCGAUACUGUCGGACUAGAGUCCGGAAGAGGCGAGUGGAAUUCCCGGUGUAGCGGUGAAAUGCGCAGAUAUCGGGAGGAACACCAAUGGCGAAGGCAGCUCGCUGGGACGGUACUGACGCUAAGGCGCGAAAGCGUGGGGAGCGAACAGG
rnacentral:rRNA from 1 species